GUGCCUGUGGCGUAGUCAGUCUGCGCGCCCGUUUGAAGAUCGGGAGGUCUCGGUGCGAUUCCGAGCGGGCACACCA
rnacentral:tRNA from 1 species